CCUGCAGUUCUGGAGGUGUCGAUUGCCCUGGGUAAGUGCUUACCUCGCCGAUCACUACAUGGGUACUUACUAAAGUGACCCUAUAGUAAUCGAACGUCGAACCACCUAGUCGACUCGAAUUUGCGAUUGGCCCUAGAUAAGUCCUUACCUCGUCGAUCACUACAUGGGUACUUACUAAAGUGACCCUAUAGUAAUCGAACGUCGAACCACCUAGUCGACUCGAAUUUGCGAUUGGCCCUAGAUAAGUCCUUACCUCGUCGAUCCCUACAUGGGUACUUACUAGAUUAACCCUAUAGUAAUCGAACGUCGAACCACCUAGUUAAUAAAUAUAUGCGCAUUAAAGCAUAAGUACAAAAUAACGGAAAGCAUCGCUUUUGUUUUUGUUAUUUUGUGGAAAAAGUAUACACAAGUUUAAAGAGAAAACUUCGAUUAUGCUUUACAUCGCUGUUUGUUUACGCGUCUUUGUUUUAUUUUGUGCUACUCUUUUACUCAAACGCAGCUGUGUUUCCUAGAUGAUGAAAUUAUUGCAAGCAUUUGAGUUGAGAAGUGCAAAGCGGAUCCGCGAUCAAUUAUUUGAUAAUAAAAGAAUAUCAAGCAGUUAGUAUAAUGCAUAGUUCUACAGUGGAAAGCGACAAUGUGCCUAAAGAAGAGGAAGUGGAAAUUAUGACAGAAAAUCUACGUUAUAGAAAUAAUGACAGGGAAUGCGGCCUAAAAAGAAGACAAUUUCUUUGGUGUUAUGAUCGAUUCAAUAACUGAGGACCAGUUGAGAAAGGCCUUGCAGCUCCAAAAAAAAAAAACGAUAUUUUAAAACUCAAGUUGCCUUAAAGUAAUAAAAGUAUCCGUCUUAUUAAAAUAAAGAAAAAUUAAAAUUAAAUAAAAACUGUAAUUGUAAUUGUAAAUUUUUUUUAAUUUAUAAUGGCCGACCCCUCUAUGGGGUCCGAUGUAAGCACUUAUUUUACUGACCCUUCAAUGGGGUCCCAUGUAAGCACUUAUUUUACCGGCCGUUCCAUGGGGUCCCAUGUAAGCACUUAUUUUACCGGCCGUUCCAUGGGGUCUAAUGUAAGCACUUAUUUUACUGACCCUAAUAUGUUGCACUAUUUCACUAGUUCGUGGUAAUCGAGGCGGUGGCGAUU